UACGUAGGGGGCAAGCGUUGUCCGGAAUCAUUGGGCGUAAAGCGCGUGUAGGCGGCCCGAUAAGUCCGCUGUGAAAGUCCAGGGCUCAACCCUGGAAUGCCGGUGGAUACUGUCGGGCUCGAGUCCGGAAGAGGCGAGUGGAAUUCCUGGUGUAGCGGUGAAAUGCGCAGAUAUCAGGAGGAACACCAAUGGCGAAGGCAGCUCGCUGGGACGGUACUGACGCUGAGACGCGAAAGCGUGGGGGGGCAAACAGG
rnacentral:rRNA from 1 species